CCUACGGGUGGCAGCAGUAGGGAAUUUUCGGCAAUGGGGGGAACCCUGACCGAGCAACGCCGCGUGAACGAAGAAGUUAUUCGUAAUGUAAAGUUCUUUUAACAGGGAAGAACGAGAAAUUUGACGGUACAUGAAGAAUAAGCUCUGGCUAACAACGUGCCAGCAGCCGCGGUGAUACGUAGGGAGCGAGCGUUAUCCGGAAUUGUUGGGGGUAAAGGGUGCAUAGAUGGCAUAGUAAGUCUUUUGUAAAAAUGCUGGGGUCAACCCAGUAGGGCAAAAGAUCCUGAAAAACUAAAGUAUGACAGAGGCAAAUGGAACUACAUGUGUAGCGGUAAAAUGCGGAAAUAUAUGUAAGAACACCAGUGGCGAAGGCGGCUUGCUGGGUCGAAACUGACAUUGAGGGACGAAAGCGUGGGGAGCAAACAGGAUUAGAUACCCCAGUUAGUC
rnacentral:rRNA from 1 species